GAUGAACGCUAGCGGCAGGCCUAACACAUGCAAGUCGAGGGGCAGCACGAUAAAGCUUGCUUUAUUGGUGGCGACCGGCGCACGGGUGCGUAACGCGUAUGCAACCUACCUUAUACUGGGGUAUAGCCCGGAGAAAUUCGGAUUAAUCCCCCAUAGUAUUGUCGAUUCGCAUGUUUUGACAAUUAAAGGUUACGGUAUAAGAUGGGCAUGCGUCCCAUUAGCUGUAUGGUGAGGUAACGGCUCACCAUGGCGACGAUGGGUAGGGGGCCUGAGAGGGUGGUCCCCAACACUGGUACUGAGACACGGACCAGACUCCUACGGGAGGCAGCAGUGAGGAAUAUUGGUCAAUGGGCGCAAGCCUGAACCAGCCAUGCCGCGUGCAGGAAGACGGUCCUAUGGAUUGUAAACUGCUUUUAUUUGGGAAUAAACUCUCGGACGUGUCCGAGCCUGAAGGUACCAAAUGAAUAAGCACCGGCUAACUCCGUGCCAGCAGCCGCCGUAAGAC
rnacentral:rRNA from 1 species